CACGGGGGUUGGAGGGCAAGUCUGGUGCCAGCAGCCGCGGUAAUUCCAGCUCCAAUAGCGUAUAUUAAAGUUGUUGCAGUUAAAAAGCUCGUAGUUGAAUUUCGGGAUCGAAUUGUUGGUCGUGCUUCGGUACGUACUGGCAUUAUUGGUUCCUACCUUCUGAAGAACCGCGAUGUCAUUAAUUUGGUGUCGUGGGGAAUCAGGACUGUUACUUUGAAAAAAUUAGAGUGUUUAAAGCAGGCGCACGCUUGAAUACAUUAGCAUGGAAUAAUGAAAUAGGACGUUUGAUUCUAUUUUGUUGGUUUCUAGGAUCGACGUAAUGAUUAAUAGGGAUAGUUGGGGGCAUUAGUAUUCAAUUGUCAGAGGUGAAAUUCUUGGAUUUAUUGAAGACUAACUACUGCGAAAGCAUUUGCCAAGGAUGUUUUCAUUAAUCAAGAACGAAAGUUAGGGGAUCGAAGACGAUCAGAUACCG
rnacentral:rRNA from 1 species